rnacentral:lncRNA from 1 species
UUACAAGUACAACAUCCAGAGGUGCUUGGCAGUUUCCUUAACUAGAGACUCUUCAGUAUAAGCUGCCUCAGACAGGAUAACCUAUGACCGUAACACAGGAGAGACCAGUGAAUGCUGUCAUGGUGAUCGGAAAAAAAGAGUACAUGAUGAGAGAAGAAGAAACAUUUAAUCAGAGCAAGGGAAAACAAAUUUAAAUAGAGAAAACCUGCAAUUUAGCCAUCUCCCAAAAGAACUGAUUUCUGCUCAAAUAAGUAUCCCAAAUUGCUCAUAUUUUGGUUAUUUGGAGAGAAAAAGAUAGUAUUUUAUGGGAUUCUAGACCACUUUCUUCAUAUUGAAGACUUAUGUCAUAGAAGAUUUAAAUAUCAAAAAAUAGAUUUAAACUAAAUCUGAUAGAACACAAAAUCAAU